GAUGAACGCUAGCGGCAGGCUUAAUACAUGCAAGUCGAGGGGCAGCAUGGUGUAGCAAUACGCUGAUGGCGACCGGCAAACGGGUGCGGAACACGUACAGAACCUUCCUUCGAGCGGGGAAUAGCCCAGAGAAAUUUGGAUUAAUACCCCAUAGUAUAUUGAAAAGGCAUCUUUUUAAUAUUAAAGAUUUAUCACUUGAAGAUGGCUGUGCGGCUGAUUAGGUAGUUGGCGGGGUAACGGCCCACCAAGCCUGCGAUCAGUAACUGGUGUGAAAGAACGACCAGUCACACGGGAACUGAGACACGGGCCCGACUCCUACGGGAGGCAGCAGUAAGGAAUAUUGGUCAAUGGACGAAAGUCUGAACCAGCCAUGCCGCGUGGAGGAUGAAGGUCCUCUGGAUUGUAAACUUCUUUUAUAUGGGACGAAAAAAGGCUUUUCUAAGUCGUCUGACGGUACCAUAUGAAUAAGCACCGGCUAACUCCGUGCCAGCCGCCGCUGUAAGAC
rnacentral:rRNA from 1 species